rnacentral:rRNA from 1 species
CUGGAGACAGAGUCUGAGGAGAGCUGGACUUGGUUUCUGCAUAAUCUGCGCCGGGCUAUUGCACAUCCCAAUGGGUUGGUCAUUCAUACAGAUGACUGCAAAGGUUUAGAAGUGGCCGUGGACAAUGUGUUCCCUGGAGUAGAGCAUAGGGAAUGCAUGCGUCACCUUGCUGCAAAUUUCAUGAAGAAAUUCAAAGGAAAGGUGUAUACCGACAAUUUAUGGCCAGCGUCUUUGACUUGCAGUGUGAAGAAGCACAACUACCACUUGAGGCAGUUAUACAUGAAUCCCAAAGUGAAAGAAUACUUGGAAACACACCACUCCAAGUUAUGGGCCAGAAGCCAAUUUAGUGAACUAAGCAAAGUUGACUAUGUGCACAAUAAUCUAGCAGAGUCUUUCAACUCAAUGAUCCGGAAACUAAAG